GAUGAACGCUAGCGGGAGGCCUAACACAUGCAAGCCGAGCGGUAGAGUUUCUUCGGAAACUUGAGAGCGGCGCACGGGUGCGUAACACGUGUGCAACCUACCUUUAUCUGGGGGAUAGCCUUUCGAAAGGAAGAUGAAUACCCCAUAAUAUAAUGAUUGGCAUCAAUUAUUAUUGAAAACUCCGGUGGAUAGAGAUGGGCACGCGCAAGAUUAGAUAGUUGGUGAGGUAACGGCUCACCAAGUAAAUGAUCGUUAGGGGUCCUGAGAGGGAGAUCCCCCACACUGGUACUGAGACACGGACCAGACUCCUACGGGAGGCAGCAGUAAGGAAUAGUGGACAAUGGGUGAGAGCCUGAUCCAGCCAUCCCGCGUGAAGGAAGACGGUCCUAUGGAUUGUAAACUUCUUUUGUACAGGGAUAAACCUACCCUCGGGAGGGUAGCUGAAGGUACUGUACGAAUAAGCACCGGCUAACUCCGUG
rnacentral:rRNA from 1 species